UCGAUACUACUCCCAAAAAUGUACUGGCUCUUAUGUUUUUAAAACAUAUUUAUUCCUGCUGAUAUGAGAUAAUUACUCAAAAACUAGCCCGAAGGCUCUUUUGGAAAUCUCAGUUUCCAACCUUGUUUAAAUGUAAAACAUUUCUUUAAAACUUCUUUGGGAAUACAUAGUUCCCUAAUAACUUUGAGAAAAGAACUCAACUUUAAACUCUUUACUUUACUUGAACUCUUGGCUUGAUGUGAAACUCUUAACUUAACAUGAAACUCUUAACUUUUGACUUGACUUGAAACUCAAUACUUAGCUUGGAACUUGAGCCUUAGAAUAAAGUUAAAACGUUCAAUGAAGACUCUUGGAAAACCUUAAAGACUUGCUUACUUCUAAGCUUGACUUCACUUGACUUGGAAACUAACUUCACUUGAAUUGGAAACUAACUUCAACUUGACUUG
rnacentral:lncRNA from 1 species